UACAGAGGUCUCAAGCGUUGUUCGGAUUCAUUGGGCGUAAAGGGCGCGUAGGCGGCCGUGCAAGUGGAAGGUGAAAUCCCUCGGCCCAACCGAGGAACUGCCUUUCAAACUGCAUGGCUUGAGUCCGGGAGAGGUGAGUGGAAUUCCGAGUGUAGAGGUGAAAUUCGUAGAUAUUCGGAAGAACACCAGUGGCGAAGGCGGCUCACUGGCCCCGUUUACCGACGCUCAGGCGCGACAGCGUGGGGGAGCAAACAGG
rnacentral:rRNA from 1 species